GCCUAAAGGUGCUCCAACAGAGGAGGAGAAGAACUUGGGACAAGGGUCUGGAGUUCCAGAACAAGGGGGGAUGGCUUCCCACUGCCAGAGGGCAGAGUUAGAUACAGUAUUGGGCAGAAACCCUUUCCUGUGAGGGUGGGGAGGCCCUGGCACUCAUGAGAUUAGAACACAUGACAGGCUUGCUUUCAUGAGGAUCCAGUACCUCAGUAGGGUCUCCUGAGCUCCACAAGGCCCCACUGCAUCACCCUGGAGUAUUGGUUCCAUGAGGCUCCAUGCCCUCACUAUGGUAUCCUUGGUUCAAUGAGGCUGCUCUGAGUCACAUUAGAGCCCUGGUUCCACAGUGUUCCAUCACCUCACAGUGCUCUCCUGGGUUCCAAGAGGCCAUGCUGUGUCACAUUAGAGCCUUUGUUCCAAGAGAUUGCAUGGCCACACCGUGUCUCCUGGGUUCCAUAAGGCCACCCUGUGACACAGAAAAGCCUUGGUUCCCUGGAUUAGCAGAACCUCACAGCAUCUCCUGGGUUCCCUGAGCACUCAUUGUGUCCAUUUAGAGCCCUGGUUCCUUGAGAUUCCAUACCCUCACUGUGGUUCUUGUUUCCAUAAGGCCCCUUGAUAUGACACUUUAGUAUUUUGGCUCCUUGAGACUCCAUAGUGUCAGUGUGGUCUCCUGGGUUCCAUGAGGAGUGGAACUCCAUGUGUCACACUGGACCCUUGGUUCCAAUGAGGUUCCAAAACCCCGCCAUAGGCUCUUGGUUCCCUGAAGCUCGUCUGUGUCACAUUUGACAGAGGGUGUCACAUUUGAACCCACUGGGUUCCAUAACCUCACAGCAGUCUCCUGCUUUCCAUAGGUUUCAAAUUUCAGCCUCAUUUUCAUGAAGUUCCAUAACUCCUUGAGGUUGCCUGGGCCCCAUGAGGCCGUGCUGUGUCCAUCAGAGACUGGGGUCCAGGAGAUUCCAUGGCCUCAAAAUGGUCUCCUGGGCCUCAUGAGACCCUGCUAUUGCCCAGAGCAGUGGUGGCUGCCCCUGGAUCCCUGGAAGUGUCCAGGGCCAGAUUGGACAGGGCUUGGAGUGACUUGGGACAGUGGAAGGUGUCCCUGCCCAUGGCAGGGGGGUGGAACUGAAUGGACUUUAAGGCCUCUCCAACCCAAACCAUUCAAUGACUUGUAGGAUUCUCUGAUUCCUGGGAGAGCUAAAGGCGACCUUGCUGCAUCAGAUUGCACCAAACAAUUGUGGAACAGAGAGGAGGAGGCAGAUGCUAAAAUAAAAAUAAUUCAGCAACAGCAAAGCCAUUCCCAUUGCCAUGAGCUCGUCGUGAACCACUGGGAGUUUGUGCCAGCAGCUCAUGUCUGCACAGUCCCAACCACAGCAGACUGCUGUUUGAAAGAGGAAAAUUGGCUUAAACAGGCUCAUUAUCACAGCUGAGGAGAGGAAAGAAAGUCCAGCUGCUGAUGGUGGAUCAAGACAACAUAUCUCCUCUUGACCUUCAGCCCCCUUCACCCCUCCACCCUCUUUUCCUUGGAAAAUCCCCACCCCAUCGUGCCAUGGUGUGAAUCAGCACCUUUUGCUGGAGCUCUCCAAUUAAGAUUCAGCAACACUGGGAGAGCAGCAGUCGGCCCACACUGGACUAAUUAAUUUUUCCUGCCUGAGUAAUUACAGUCCAGAGGUGACCAUGAAAGCCAAGUAAAUCAAUUUGUGUUUUACUGAGAUCCUCAUCAGUCACGGAGCACUAACCAAGAAGAAAAAAAAUA